UUGCAUAUUCCUCAUUGUCCUUACAAUUUAAUCUCCUUGAGUCAAUUGACUCGUUCCUUAAAUUUUUUUGUCACCUUUACAGCUAGUUCCUUUGUUAUAUAGGAACUUGUACGGGUCGUCUGAUUGGAGAAGGACAUGAGUCUCGAGGAAUUCAUUUCUUAAAACAUAGUUCUUCAGUUUCUUGUUUACAACUUCGUCCCCAAAACUUUU
rnacentral:lncRNA from 1 species